GACGAACGCUGGCGGCGUGCUUAACACAUGCAAGUCGAACGGAAAGGCCCUGCUUUUGUGGGGUGCUCGAGUGGCGAACGGGUGAGUAACACGUGAGUAACAUGCCCUUGACUUUGGGAUAACUUCAGGAAACUGGGGCUAAUACCGGAUAGGAGCUCUUGCUGCAUGGUGGGGGUUGGAAAGUUUCGGCGGUUGGGGAUGGACUCGCGGCUUAUCAGCUUGUUGGUGAGGUAGUGGCUUACCAAGGCUUUGACGGGUAGCCGGCCUGAGAGGGUGACCGGCCACAUUGGUACUGAGAUACGGCCCAGACUCCUACGGUAGGCAGCAGUGGGGAAUAUUGCACAAUGGGCGGAAGCCUGAUGCAGCAACGCCGCGUGCGGGAUGACGGCCUUCGGGUGGUAAACCGCUUUCGCCUGUGACGAAGCGUGAGUGACGGUAAUGGGUAAAGAAGCACCGGCUAACUACGUG
rnacentral:rRNA from 1 species